GGCCGUGUGGAGCUGAAGCAGACAGUCCGCAUGUCUCUGAUUCCUGCAAAGCCGGCCGGGCUCACCGACGCCCGGCUCACCGACUCCCGGCUCACCGACGCCCGGCUCACCGAGCAGGCCACCACAGGAUCAGGAGGAGAGGGAAGCCCUGCACGCUCCCAGCCCAUCUCCGUGUCGAACUGCACCCUGAAGCCAGGUGUUGGCUACUGGCUGUGUUCCUGGGAUGCUUGGCUUAAAACCAAGUGGGGCACUGCCCUUAAGUAUAUUCUUCCAUCCAUCCUCAUGCCAACCCGAGGCGGUAAGAAAUAUGAUACCUAAUUUUUGGGUGAAGAAAUUGAGGCUCACACACUCCAGUGGCAGAGCUGGCAUUUGGUCCCAGGUGUGUCUGGCUGCGAAGUUCAUGGCUUUUUCGAUGCGUCACCCUGCAGUGAGACGAGAGCGGAGAUCUUCCAUUAGGUCUCCUCAACAUGUGUUUUCCACGCCAAUAAAUUUGACAAACUUUGGUGCAAACUUUUAUAAGGUAACUUUUUUCACCUAAUUUUCUCUAGUUCAUUGUGAAUGUCUAGGAGAGAGGAUGAAGUUUGCAUAAAUUGUAUAACAAUAAAUACUGUUACAUUGGAAUUUCUGUUAGCAUCUCACAAAACAGUGGUCCACAGAACACGGCUCUAUAGAAUGCCAGGUGAAGGUACUUGUAUGUGCUGGGUGGGAAAAGGCAUGGUUAAAUAAGGACAAGGCAAAGAUCUGGAAGGGGAAAGGAAAAGAAGGGCCCCCAAAGCAAGAGAAGGGACCCAGAGGACAAGCUUCACCCUACUCCCUCAGCACACACACACCUUGCCAAGAUGGGCGCUAUGUGUGCGUGUCCACUUUCAUCCAAGAAACCUGGAGAGAGAGGUAUUCAUUAAUUAUAUUUCAGUUUCUCAUCUGCAAAUCAAGUUUCAUCCACAAAGAAGAAAGCUCAAGACUAACAAUGUCAGAAAGAACCAAUGACCAAGAAACAGCGGGCAUUCAGUUUACAGGACUUCUUUCUUACAAACUUGCUUGUUUAGAGAAGUCAUUUAUGCAAAAGGCACAGAAAAAAAUGACAUUGUGGGUAGUGCCAGUCAGUAUGGCUGCCAUAGUAAUUGGUACCAGUGGCCAAUAACAAGUGCUUCCCUAUGUCCAGUGCCGUGGCAGUCCCACGAACUCUGCUCUUUCAUGGGAAACGGGAAGGGAAAUACAUGAGUCUGCACUAUCUACCCCAGCAUCCAUCUCCC
rnacentral:lncRNA from 1 species